ACUCUCACCCUGUGACUUACCUAAACGUUGCUUCGGCGGGAAUAGACGGCCCUGUAAAACGGGCCGCCCCCGCCAGAGGACCCUUAACUCUGUUUCUUAUAAUGUUUCUUCUGAGUAAAACAAGCAAAUAAAUUAAAACUUUCAACAACGGAUCUCUUGGCUCUGGCAUCGAUGAAGAACGCAGCGAAAUGCGAUAAGUAAUGUGAAUUGCAGAAUUCAGUGAAUCAUCGAAUCUUUGAACGCACAUUGCGCCCGCCAGUAUUCUGGCGGGCAUGCCUGUUCGAGCGUCAUUACAACCCUCAGGCCCCCGGGCCUGGCGUUGGGGAUCGGCGGAGCGCCCCUCGUGGGCGCACGCCGUCCCCCAAAUACAGUGGCGGUCCCGCCGCAGCUUCCAUCGCGUAGUAGCUAACACCUCGCGACUGGAGAGCGGCGCGGCCACGCCGUAAAACACCCCAACUCUUCUGAAGUUGACCUCGAAUCAGGUAGGAAUACCCGCUGAACUUAAGCAUAUCAAUAAGCGGAGGAAAAGAAA
rnacentral:rRNA from 1 species